rnacentral:rRNA from 1 species
GAUGAACGCUGGCGGCGUGCCUAAUACAUGCAAGUCGAGCGAACGGACGAGAAGCUUGCUUCUCUGAUGUUAGCGGCGGACGGGUGAGUAACACGUGGAUAACCUACCUAUAAGACUGGGAUAACUUCGGGAAACCGGAGCUAAUACCGGAUAAUAUUUUGAACCGCAUGGUUCAAAAGUGAAAGACGGUCUUGCUGUCACUUAUAGAUGGAUCCGCGCUGCAUUAGCUAGUUGGUAAGGUAACGGCUUACCAAGGCAACGAUGCAUAGCCGACCUGAGAGGGUGAUCGGCCACACUGGAACUGAGACACGGUCCAGACUCCUACGGGAGGCAGCAGUAGGGAAUCUUCCGCAAUGGGCGAAAGCCUGACGGAGCAACGCCGCGUGAGUGAUGAAGGUCUUCGGAUCGUAAAACUCUGUUAUUAGGGAAGAACAUAUGUGUAAGUAACUGUGCACAUCUUGACGGUACCUAAUCAGAAAGCCACGGCUAACUACGUGCCAGCAGCCGCGGUAAUACGUAGGUGGCAAGCGUUAUCCGGAAUUAUUGGGCGUAAAGCGCGCGUAGCGGUUUUUUAAGUCUGAUGUGAAAGCCCACGGCUCAACCGUGGAGGGUCAUUGGAAACUGGAAAACUUGAGUGCAGAAGAGGAAAGUGGAAUUCCAUGUGUAGCGGUGAAAUGCGCAGAGAUAUGGAGGAACACCAGUGGCGAAGGCGACUUUCUGGUCUGUAACUGACGCUGAUGUGCGAAAGCGUGGGGAUCGAACAGGAUUAGAUACCCUGGUAGUCCACGCCGUAAACGAUGAGUGCUAAGUGUUAGGGGGUUUCCGCCCCUUAGUGCUGCAGCUAACGCAUUAAGCACUCCGCCUGGGGAGUACGACCGCAAGGUUGAAACUCAAAGGAAUUGACGGGGACCCGCACAAGCGGUGGAGCAUGUGGUUUAAUUCGAAGCAACGCGAAGAACCUUACCAAAUCUUGACAUCCUUUGACAACUCUAGAGAUAGAGCCUUCCCCUUCGGGGGACAAAGUGACAGGUGGUGCAUGGUUGUCGUCAGCUCGUGUCGUGAGAUGUUGGGUUAAGUCCCGCAACGAGCGCAACCCUUAAGCUUAGUUGCCAUCAUUAAGUUGGGCACUCUAAGUUGACUGCCGGUGACAAACCGGAGGAAGGUGGGGAUGACGUCAAAUCAUCAUGCCCCUUAUGAUUUGGGCUACACACGUGCUACAAUGGACAAUACAAAGGGCAGCGAAACCGCGAGGUCAAGCAAAUCCCAUAAAGUUGUUCUCAGUUCGGAUUGUAGUCUGCAACUCGACUACAUGAAGCUGGAAUCGCUAGUAAUCGUAGAUCAGCAUGCUACGGUGAAUACGUUCCCGGGUCU